rnacentral:lncRNA from 1 species
AGUUACAUAUUACUGUGUUCCCCUAAAAUGUUAUAUCACUGUUGCAAAUUUCUGUAUUUCAGAAUUAAUCUCUGUUAACCUGCAUGCCUGGGCACAAAGGAAUAUGUCAUGUCAUACAGGCUCACUGUUCAACCACACUUAUUGCCUUGUAAUUCUGAAUAUUUCUGUGAUUUGAGAAGACUCUGAUCAGUAAGAAGGAAUUUGGAAAUGUGUUGACACAUUUGUGUGAUGGCACUCACAAUGUUGAGAUGACACUAUGAUACAAACAUAAGUUCAAGCCAGACGGAAGCCCUGGAGGAUGCUAAUGCAGCACUGCAAUAUGCUAAGUUUCAGGAGAGCUGCUUAGUGAGUCCAUUGAAAAUCUCACUCCUGAUGAAGAGAGGAUUUGUGUUUACAGAACAGAAAACAUGUGUACUCAUAAAAUUUAAUGGAGUGGAGUUGCCUGAAAGAACUGGACCAUUUUUAAUAUACCUUUCUGUAGCUCCUUGGUACAUAUGUGAACAAUUUUAAUUAAAAAAAAAAAAUAGAAAGAUUCGUAGUGAUUCUCAGACGUCUUGCGGUUGAUCAUCUGCAUUGGACAGAUGGAUUCGGUCACUGUAAGCCAAAUAAAUAAAUUAGCGCUAUCUUUGAAAUGUAUAGC